rnacentral:rRNA from 1 species
AUUGAACGCUGGCGGCAGGCCUAACACACGCAAGUCCAACGAGUGGCGGACGGGUGAGUAAUGUCUGGGAAACUGCCUGCUGGAGGGGGAUAACUACCGGAACCGGUAGCUAAUACCGCAUACCAUCAGAUGUGCCCAGAUGGGACUAGCUUGUUGGUGGGGUAACGGCGCACCAAGGCAACGAUGCCUAGCUGGUCUGAGAGGAUAACCAGCCACACUGGAACUGAGACAGGAUCAAGACUCCUACGGUAGGCAGCAGUGGGGAAUAUUGCACAAGGGGCGCAAGCAUGAUGCAGCGAAGCCGCGUGAAUAAAGAAGGGCUUCGGGUUGUAAAGUACUUUCAGCGGGGAGGCGUUACCCGCAGAAGAAGCACCGGCUAACACCGGGCCAGCAGCCGCGGUAAUAA